rnacentral:rRNA from 1 species
AGUGAACGCUGGCGGUAUGCCUAACACAUGCAAGUCGAACGGCAGCACAGUAAUAGCUUGCUCUUACGGGUGGCGAGUGGCGGACGGUUGAUGAAUACAUCGGAAUCUACUUUUUCGUGGGGGAUAACGUAGGGAAACUUACGCUAAUACCGCAUACGACCUACGGGUGAAAGCAGGGGAUCUUCGGACCUUGCGCGAUUGAAUGAGCCGAUGUCGGAUUAGCUAGUUGGCGGGGUAAAGGCCCACCAAGGCGACGAUCCGUAGCUGGUCUGAGAGGAUGAUCAGCCACACUGGAACUGAGACACGGUCCAGACUCCUACGGGAGGCAGCAGUGGGGAAUAUUGGACAAUGGGCGCAAGCCUGAUCCAGCCAUACCGCGUGGGUGAAGAAGGCCUUCGGGUUGUAAAGCCCUUUUGUUGGGAAAGAAAAGCAGCAGGUUAAUACCCCGCUGUGAUGACGGUACCCAAAGAAUAAGCACCGGCUAACUUCGUG